ACACAAUUCUAUUUUAAUCUGUUUAUGCGGCAUGUCUGCUGUACACGUCCCUGUGAACAAGCCGUUACUAUAGCAACCAUAACGCAUCAGAACGACUGCAUUAAUAAAACCCUGCGCUAUUGUCAGAGUCGCUGUUAUAGAAAACUCAUCAACGCCUUCAGAUCCAAGAGUUCUACUGCUUUGUGGUAUACACACAGACACAAUCUGAUGUAAAACAAUCUGCAGUCUUAGUAAAGAAACAAGAUGUUCCAGAUGACACUAAUGUUUGGCUGAUCGGAAAUAAUCAGCACCUGCACCACAUUAUCACAUUAUCAGUCAGGGAGGAAAAUAAGAUUUUACUAAAAGUAAAAGUUUUUAUAAUGUGUUCUGCUCAUAACAGAGUGACUCAGCUAGUCAGGAUGUGUGAUGAACCAGAGACACACAUUUUACCCAAACAAACAGCAGGACAAGCGGACACAUGUGAUGAAUGAGUCAAGGCUAGCUUCAACAGCACACAGCAAUAUUAGCCGAAUUAGCAUAAAGUAAUCACACCUAAGUAGUUAGAUUCAGAGUCAGAGUCAUACAUUCCCCUUCCAGCAUGUUCAUCACAUGAGAGGAAACCAGUGUGUGACUUUAAUGUGAGCUGAAAACCUUCUGAAAAGUUAAUAAAAUACCUUUAUAAAAAAAACACAACACACAAACAUCAAAAUGAACAGCUGUGUGUUAGUCACAGAAUGUGUUUUUAUUUAUUUGUGUGUGUGUGUGUGUGUGUGUGUGUGUGUGUGUGUGUGUGAUAG